GACGAACGCUGGCGGCACGCUUAACACAUGCAAGUCGAACGAGAGAAGAGAAGCUUGCUUUUCUGAUCUAGUGGCGGACGGGUGAGUAACACGUGAGCAAUCUGCCUUUCAGAGGGGGAUACCGAUUGGAAACGAUCGUUAAUACCGCAUAAUAUAAUUGAACCGCAUGAUUUGAUUAUCAAAGAUUUAUCGCUGAAAGAUGAGCUCGCGUCUGAUUAGCUAGUUGGUAAGGUAACGGCUUACCAAGGCGACGAUCAGUAGCCGGACUGAGAGGUUGAUCGGCCACAUUGGGACUGAGACACGGCCCAGACUCCUACGGGAGGCAGCAGUGGGGAAUAUUGCACAAUGGAGGAAACUCUGAUGCAGCGAUGCCGCGUGAGGGAAGAAGGUUUUAGGAUUGUAAACCUCUGUCUUCAGGGACGAAAAAAGACG
rnacentral:rRNA from 1 species